rnacentral:rRNA from 1 species
AAGGAUUCCCCUAGUAACGGCGAGUGAAGCGGGAAAAGCUCAAAUUUAAAAUCUGGCAAUCUUUGGUUGUCCGAAUUGUAAUCUAGAGAAGCGUUUUCCGUGCUGGACUGUGUGCAAGUUUCCUGGAUACGGAACAUCAUAGAGGGUGAGAAUCCCGUCCUUCACACAGACUGCCAGUGCUUUGUGAUGCGCUCUCGACGAGUCGAGUUGUUUGGGAUUGCAGCUCAAAAUGGGAGGUAAAUUCCUUCUAAAGCUAAAUAUUGGCGAGAGACCGAUAGCGAACAAGUACCGUGAGGGAAAGAUGAAAAGCACUUUGGAAAGAGAGUUAAACAGUACGUGAAAUUGUUAAAAGGGAAACGCUUGAAGUCAGUCAUGUUUGCUUGGACUCAACCUAACCUCGGUUUGGUGCAUUUCCUUGCAGACGGGCCAGCGUUCAUGUUGUUUGCCAGAGAAGGAGCGAGAGAAUGUGACUCCUUUGGGAGUGUUAUAGCUCUCACUCGCAUGUGGGGAACAAUAUGGAGUGGUACAGCACG